UAACAGCAUGUGAAUGAAUGAACUGGCCACACUAGCAUGGUGCAUUUAUACCUGACGAUCUCUUUCAAGACAUUUGAAUAAAAAACGGACAUCAUGGUUAGUAUUUAUAGGGUCUGUACAUGUGGUCCCUAGCCUGGUUUGUCUGAGAAUUAAGUAGAAAUAUCCUUUAGAAGUGUUUGUACUUUAGGCGCUAGUUAGCAUGUAACAGCAUCUGAAUGAAUGAACUGACCACUACUGUAUGGUGCAUUUAUACCUGACGAUCUCUUUCAAGUCAUUUAAAUAAAACAUGGAUAUCAUGGUUAGUAUUUGUAGAGUCUGUAAAUGUGGUCCCUUGCUUGGUUUGUCUGAAAAUUAAGUGGAAAUAUCCUUUAGAAGUGUUUGUACUUUAGGCGCUAGUUAGCAUGUGCCAGGUGUCAUACCACUGCAGUAAUCAUCUCACUAAACACGUCUUUUCAUAUCCAAUCUGUUCAACAGAGUUUACCAGUCAGACCACUACACCUUUGCCAGCACCACCACCCAGCAAGCUUCAUCAACUCCAGCCAUGCCGAGUUUACCAGUCAGACCUACACCUCCGUCAAAUUCGCUCACAGCGCUGCCAAUAACACCCCAGCAAAUUUUUACAGACUUGUUCUGCAGCACUUCCGAACAAUUGAGGAGGAGCUGGGGUAAAGCAGCAGGUGGCUGUGAACACAUCUAUGCUGCAGAAGCUAGGUGGUGGUGGUGUGGCAGAUCUUGGCCUCGUGGAGGACAACAACAGGCCAUUGAGUAAUGUUGAGGACCUGGACGAGUUGGAGAGGCGGCUUGCAUCCGAUGCGGACCUGAAAAAUCAACUGGUGAACAUACUUGGGAGGGAAAACCACCGAGAUGCUGUUAAGAGGAUGCUGGGCCGGGCUUUGAGGAGGUCCCUGGCGCUCCAAAUUAAUUAGACUGGUGCAGCAGGAAAGGUGGCUUUUAAGUCCUUACACCUGAAGAGUGUGUUGCAUAUUAAUAUCAUUAUUAAAAAUAAUUUUAAUAAAUUGUUUAAGCAUGUAGAAGAAAUAAAGCAUGUAAAUGAGCAUGUAAAAGAAAUAAAUAAACAAAAUGUAUUGAACCUAAUACUAUGUGUGGUGAGUCUGUGUGAUAGUUGCUGAGGAUAAAUGUUUUUAUAUUGGAUUAUUAAAUUACAGAAUACAUUUAUAGGUUUCUCAUCAGCAGGCACUGUCUUCACCUUAGUAAAUUUGGUAACUUUGGUAAGCCCUGUAAAUAAUUGUAAAUUGUUCUGAUUGAGGGCAAAUGGAAAGUGUUAUAAUGUAUUAUUGCUAUAUUUUAGUACAUAAUUUUAAUUAUUAAGGCCAUAAAUAAGGCCAAUUAGAAGCUGGUGGGUAGUAAGCGGCAAAAGGGUGGCCCUUUAUCUGGAGCCGCUUCUGAGCCGCCGGUGGACCGCUAGAGAACCGAUGAGCAAAACUCCAGCGGGCCACUGGUGGGUACCGCCGUUGGACCGCCAACUCUGCCGCUGGUGGGCCGCCAGUGGGCCACUGACCUAUUGCUAUCUGGGUGUCUGUACUGUGACACAAUAUCAAAGCAACACACACAGAUAAAUAGUGACAGACACAUUUUUGUUUUUUGGAGUUUUGAGAGGUUUUGGACACUUGAGAAUGCCUAAAUGCACCUAUUAGGAAUU